rnacentral:lncRNA from 1 species
GUCCUUGGGGGUCUUCGUGCUCAGGGUCAUCAGCGACAUGUCCUGCAGGUCUUCGCUGUCAAGCACUUCAUCAUCCUCGCAGUCCAUGGCAGAAGAUUCGAGAUUGUCUCUGUCACAGUUCACCAGCAGGAUGGCACCCUGUCCACAAGGGCCCCAGGUCCAGGUCCUCUGAUCUUUCACAGCUCUGGUUGGCUUCACUUUGCCGGUGCGGGUGAUGUCUGCGCACAAGGAGAUUUCCACCCCGGUGAGGUAGAGUAGAGCUUUGACUGGUGGAGUCUUGGGUCCGUAGUAUGAAAUCUGAACCUUCUGGUCGCCUGUGCUACCACUGGCCACUUUCAUCGUCAGGGUCACCUCUACCCCAGGGUCCAGGGGCCAUGUGGAGGAACCUGUGGAUUUCUUCUUGGCUGGAGGGCCGUGGGCAAUAUCCACGACCACCCCUGGGGAGGCGUUGAUGCUGAAGGACGUGCAGUCCUCAGGGGCAGAGCUGCAGAUGUCAAGCUGAGUCAAGGUGCCCAGCACACACACGGCAUGGGUGGGCUGCUCUGGGGUCACACGGAUCAAUGUCCCCUGGGCCAUCGUCGGGCUAGCUCGUC